AUUGAACGCUGGCGGCAGGCUUAACACAUGCAAGUCGAGCGGGGUGAUGGCGCUUGCACUAUCACUUAGCGGCGGACGGGUGAGUAAUGCUUAGGAAUCUGCCUGUUAGUGGGGGACAACAUCUCGAAAGGGAUGCUAAUACCGCAUACGUCCUACGGGAGAAAGCAGGGGAUCACUUGUGACCUUGCGCUAAUAGAUGAGACUAAGUCGGAUUAGCUAGUUGGUGGGGUAAAGGCCUACCAAGGCGACGAUCUGUAGCGGGUCUGAGAGGAUGAUCCGCCACACCGGGACUGAGACACGGCCCAGACUCCUACGGGAGGCAGCAGUGGGGAAUAUUGGACAAUGGGGGGAACCCUGAUCCAGCCAUGCCGCGUGUGUGAAGAAGGCCUUAUGGUUGUAAAGCACUUUAAGCGAGGAGGAGGCUCUUUUGGUUAAUACCCAAGAUGAGUGGACGUUACUCGCAGAAUAAGCACCGGCUAACUCUGUGCCAGCAGCCGCCGUAAAAC
rnacentral:rRNA from 1 species